GGGCCCGCACAAGCGGUGGAGUAUGUGGUUUAAUUCGACGCAACGCGCAGAACCUUACCCAGGCUUGACAUCCUCGGAACCUGAUGGAAACAUCGGGGUGUCCCCUCACGGGGAAGCCGAGUGACAGGUGCUGCAUGGCUGUCGUCAGCUCGUGUCGUGAGAUGUUCGGUUAAGUCCGGCAACGAGCGCAACCCCUGUCGUUAGUUGCCAUCAAUUCGGUUGGGCACUCUAGCGAGACUCCCGGUGUUAAGCCGGCGGAAGAUGGGGAUGACGUCAAGUCCUCAUGGCCCUUACGGGUUGGGCUACACACGUGCUACAAUGGUGGUGACAAUGGGUUAAUCCCAAAAAGCCAUCUCAGUUCGGAUUGGGGUCUGCAACUCGACCCCAUG
rnacentral:rRNA from 1 species